rnacentral:rRNA from 1 species
GAAUCGGGAGCCUGUUGCUGGUGCGGAAACGCAUAUCGUGCACGGCUUUUGUGCUCAAUCCAUUUCAACCCCUGUGCACCUUAUCGAAGUGAGUAGUCUCUUUUUAUUUGUUGGCUGUAUGCGGAAGGGGGACGAAUUACUAUGAGUAUGUUAGUAAGGCGAACACACCUUUUUAGAUGUUACUAGCUUGAAGGCGAAAGUAGUAGUAGUAGUUCUCUUGUACUCUUGGCCGGCAAGGAAGAGAGUCGAAAGCUUUGACUUCUUUAAACACUUUAUAUGUCUUGUGGAAUGUAUUAGCUCCUUGUGGGCGAAAUAAAUACAACUUUCAACAACGGAUCUCUUGGCUCUCGCAUCGAUGAAGAACGCAGCGAAAUGCGAUAAGUAAUGUGAAUUGCAGAAUUCAGUGAAUCAUCGAAUCUUUGAACGCACCUUGCGCCCUUUGGUAUUCCGAAGGGCAUGCCUGUUUGAGUGUCAUGUUAAUCUCAAACCCCUUGUCUUUGUUGACUCGGUUUGGUUUGGACUUGGAGGUGUUGCUGGCACAUGGGUUCUUGCCUUGUCGGCUCCUCUUAAAUGUAUUAGCUGGGCUUUGGUUCGCAUUAACGGUGUAAUAGUAAAGUGUUCGCCGGGUGCUUGCCUAACGAGUCUGCUUCUAAUUGUCUUCGGACAAGGUCGACUCUGACCUUUUCUCUUGACCUUUGACCUCAAAUCAGGUAGGAUUACCCGCUGAACUUAAGCAUAUCAAUAAGCG